rnacentral:rRNA from 1 species
AUUGAACGCUGGCGGCAGGCCUAACACAUGCAAGUCGAGCGAGCGUCGGACGGGUGAGUAAUGUAUGGGGACUGCCCGAUAGAGGGGGAUAACUCCUGGACACGGUAGCUAAUACCGCAUACUAUCGGAUAACCCAUAGGGGAAUAGCUAGUAGGUGAGGUAAUGGCUCACCUAGGCAACGAUCCCUAGCUGGUCUGAAAGGAUGAUCAGCCACACUGGGACGGAGACACGGCCCAGACUCCUACGGAGGCAGCAGUGGGGAAUAUUGCACAAUGGGCGCAACCCUGAUCCAGCCAUCCCGCGUGUAUGAUGAAGGCCUUCGGGUUGUAAAGUACUUUUGGCAGAGAAGCGGUAUCUGCAGAAUAAGCACCGGCUAACUACGUGCCAGCAGCCGCGGUAAUUC